rnacentral:rRNA from 1 species
UACGUAGGGUGCAAGCGUUGUCCGGAUUUAUUGGGCGUAAAGAGCUCGUAGGCGGUCUGUCGCGUCGAAUGUGAAAGCCCAGGGCUCAACCCUGGGUCUGCAUUCGAUACGGGCAGACUAGAGUAUGGCAGGGGAGACUGGAAUUCCUGGUGUAGCGGUAAAAUGCGCAGAUAUCAGGAGGAACACCGGUGGCGAAGGCGGGUCUCUGGGCCAAAACUGACGCUGAGGAGCGAAAGCGUGGGGAGCGAACAGG